CUACGUGCCAGCAGCCGCGGUAAUACGGAGGGUGCGAGCGUUAAUCGGAAUAACUGGGCGUAAAGGGCACGCAGGCGGUGACUUAAGUGAGGUGUGAAAGCCCCGGGCUUAACCUGGGAAUUGCAUUUCAUACUGGGUCGCUAGAGUACUUUAGGGAGGGGUAGAAUUCCACGUGUAGCGGUGAAAUGCGUAGAGAUGUGGAGGAAUACCGAAGGCGAAGGCAGCCCCUUGGGAAUGUACUGACGCUAAAGCGCGAAAGCGUGGGUAGCAAACAGGAUUAGAUACCCUGGUAGUCCACGCCGUAAACGAUGAUUACUAGGUGUUGGGGGUCGAACCUCAGCGCCCAAGCUAACGCGAUAAGUAAUCCGCCUGGGGAGUACGUACGCAAGUAUGAAACUCAAAGGAAUUGACGGGGACCCGCACAAGCGGUGGAGCAUGUGGUUUAAUUCGACGCAACGCGAGGAACCUUACCAGCGUUUGACAUC
rnacentral:rRNA from 1 species